AUUAAUAUGUAUGACUGUAUUAGCUGUGUCACAUGAACUUUUCUCUUUAUAUUAUAAUAUUGUUUUUCCUAUAAAUUAUGGUCCACUAUUGCUUAGCUAGCUAAAAUUGUACCAUGAUGAAAACAUCUAUCAUCGCUUUUCUUCUCCUGCAUACCAUUUUGCUCCAUCCUCUCAUUGUUGCUCGACAGCUAAUUGAGUUUGACGGAAAAAGUGGCGUCAGGCAUGAAAUUACCAACGUUGAGGGCAAUGAUGGGAGCAAUGGCAGGAUUUGGAUGCCUCCAAUAAGAAGCUGCUUUGGCAGAAUCGGCCGUGGAUGCGUGCUGCCACCCCCAUCACCGGUGACUAGUUGUGGAGCCAACCAACGCUGCUAUCGUCGGCCACCAACAAAUUAAUGAUUAGUGCUGUAGUCUCGCAAAUGAAAUUGUAAUCAGCUGCUGGUGGACUUAAUUUUGAAGUUUAUCUAAAAAACUCAUUUGGUUUUUCUAAGCGCUCGUAUAAUGUAUUAAUAUUAUAAUUAUUCCAAGUCUUUUGAAUUAUCUCUAGUAUAAAUAUACCAUUUUGCUCCAUCCUCUCAUUGUUGCUCGACAGCUAAUUGAGCUUGAAGGAAAAGGUGGCCUCAGGCAUGAAAUUACUAACGUUGACGGCAAUGAUGGGAGCAAUGGCAGGAUUUGGAUGCCUCCAAUAAGACGCUGCUUUGGCGGAAUCGGCCGUGGAUGCGUGUUGCCACCCCCAUCACCGGUGACUAAUUGCGGACCCAACCAACGCUGCUAUCCUCCACCAACAAAUUAAUGAUUAGUGCUGUAGUCUCGCAAUGAAAUUGUAAUCAGCUGCUGGUGGAAUAAAUUUUGCAGUUUAUCUAAAAAACUCAUUUAGUUUUUCGAAGUGCUCGUAUAAUGUAUUAAUAUUGUAAUUAUUCCAAGUCUUUAGCUACAAAUUCAAGAAUUUUCUCACUAAA